GGAAUUAUAGCUCAGUGGUAGAGCACUUGCCUAACAAGUGAGGUACUAGGUUCUAUUUUCA
rnacentral:tRNA from 1 species